rnacentral:rRNA from 1 species
UAGGUGGCAAGCGUUAUCCGGAAUUAUUGGGCGUAAAGAGGGAGCAGGCGGCAGCAAGGGUCUGUGGUGAAAGACUGAAGCUUAACUUCAGUAAGCCAUAGAAACCGGGCAGCUGGAGUGCAGGAGAGGAUCGUGGAAUUCCAUGUGUAGCGGUGAAAUGCGUAGAUAUAUGGAGGAACACCAGUGGCGAAGGCGACGAUCUGGCCUGUAACUGACGCUCAGUCCCGAAAGCGUGGGGAGCAA